CAGUGGGGAAUAUUGCACAAUGGGGGAAACCCUGAUGCAGCCAUGCCGCGUGUGUGAAGAAGGCCUUCGGGUUGUAAAGCACUUUCAGUUAGGGAGGAAGGUAGUGUAGUUAACACCUGCAUUAUUUGACGGUUACCUACAGAAGAAGCACCGGCUAACUCCGUGCCAGCAGCCGCGGUAAUACGGAGGGUGCGAGCGUUAAUCGGAAUUACUGGGCGUAAAGCGCAUGCAGGCGGCCUGUUAAGUCAGAUGUGAAAGCCCGGGGCUUAACCUCGGAAUUGCAUUUGAAACUGGCAGGCUAGAGUCUUGUAGAGGGGGUAGAAUUUCAGGUGUAGCGGUGAAAUGCGUAGAGAUCUGAAGGAAUACCAGUGGCGAAGGCGGCCCCCUGGACAAAGACUGACGCUCAGAUGCGAAAGCGUGGGGAGCAAACAGGAUUAGAUACCCUGGUAG
rnacentral:rRNA from 1 species